rnacentral:rRNA from 1 species
GGGGAACUCGGAUAGUGGCGGACGGGUGAGUACACGUGGGAACGUGCCUUUAGGUUCGGAAUAACUCAGGGAAACUUGUGCUAAUACCGAAUGUGCCCUUCGGGGGAAAGAUUUAUCGCCUUUAGAGCGGCCCGCGUCUGAUUAGCUAGUUGGUGAGGUAAAGGCUCACCAAGGCGACGAUCAGUAGCUGGUCUGAGAGGAUGAUCAGCCACAUUGGGACUGAGACACGGCCCAAACUCCUACGGGAGGCAGCAGUGGGGAAUCUUGCGCAAUGGGCGAAAGCCUGACGCAGCCAUGCCGCGUGAAUGAUGAAGGUCUUAGGAUUGUAAAAUUCUUUCGCCGGGGACGAUAAUGACGGUACCCGGAGAAGAAGCCCCGGCUAACUUCGUGCCAGCAGCCGCGGUAAUACGAAGGGGGCUAGCGUUGCUCGGAAUUACUGGGCGUAAAGGGAGCGUAGGCGGACAUUUAAGUCAGGGGUGAAAUCCCGGGGCUCAACCUCGGAAUUGCCUUUGAUACUGGGUGUCUUGAGUAUGAGAGAGGUGUGUGGAACUCCGAGUGUAGAGGUGAAAUUCGUAGAUAUUCGGAAGAACACCAGUGGCGAAGGCGACACACUGGCUCAUUACUGACGCUGAGGCUCGAAAGCGUGGGGA